CACGUAGGGCGCAAGCGUUGUCCGGAAUUAUUGGGCGUAAAGAGCUCGUAGGUGGUUUGUUACGUCUGCUGUGAAAACCUAGGGCUUAACCCUGGGCUUGCAGUGGAUACGGGCAGACUAGAGGUAGGUAGGGGAGAAUGGAAUUCCUGGUGUAGCGGUGAAAUGCGCAGAUAUCAGGAAGAACACCCGUGGCGAAGGCGGCUCUCUGGAACGCAACUGACGCUGAGACGCGAAGGCCAGGGGAGCGAACGGG
rnacentral:rRNA from 1 species